CCUACGGGAGGCAGCAGUGAGGAAUAUUGGUCAAUGGACGAAAGUCUGAACCAGCCAUGCCGCGUGCAGGAAGACGGCUCUAUGAGUUGUAAACUGCUUUUGUACAAGGGUAAACCUGAAUACGUGUAUUCAGCUGAAAGUACUGUACGAAUACGGAUCGGCUAACUCCGUGCCCGCAGCCGCGGUAAUACGGAGGAUCCAAGCGUUAUCCGGAUUUAGUGGGUUUAAAGGGUGCGUAGGCGGAUUGAUAAGUUAGAGGUGAAAUGUCCGGGCUCAACUCGGGAACUGCCUCUAAUACUGUUGAUCUAGAGAGUAGAUGCGGUAGGCGGAAUGUAUGGUGUAGCGGUGAAAUGCUUAGAGAUCAUACAGAACACCGAUUGCGAAGGCAGCUUACCAAUCUAUAUCUGACGUUGAGGCACGAAAGCGUGGGGAGCAAACAGGAUUAGAUACCCGUGUAGUC
rnacentral:rRNA from 1 species